ACUGGGCACGGUGGCAUGUGCCUGUAGUCCCAGCUACUUGGGAGGCUGAGGCUGGAGGAUCGCUUGAGUCCAGGAGUUCUGGGCUGUAGUGCACUAUGCCAAUCAGGUGUCCACACUAAGUUCUGCAUCAAUAUGGUGACCUCCCAGGAGCGGGGGAACACCAGGUUGCCUAAGGAGGGCUGAAUGGGCCCAGGUCGGAAAUGGAGCAGGUCAAAACUCCCGUGCUGAUCAGUAGUGGGACUGCGCCUGUGAAUAGCCACUGCACUCCAGCCUGGACAACAUAGUGAGACCCCGUCUCU
rnacentral:SRP_RNA from 1 species